CGCUCUUUGAAAAUUAUUAAUAAAGAGUCGUGCCUGCCCAGUGAAAUUUUAAACGGCCGCAGUACCCUGACUGUGCUAAGGUAGCAUAAUAACUUGUUUUUUAAUUGAAAGCUUGUAUGAAUGGCUUGACGUGGGCAAGACUGUCUCUAUUACAUUAAAUAAAAAUUAAUUUUUAAGUGAAGAAGCUUAAAUAAUCUCAAAAGACGAAAAGACCCUAUCGAGCUUUAAAUUUAUGUAUAAAUAAAAUCUUUUAGAAAAACAAAAUUUAUAUUCCAUUUUUAGUUGGGGCGACAAAAGAACAAAUAAAGCUUCUUUUUAUUAUGUAAAUUUAUAAAUUUAUAGAGCCAUAAAUUAUGAUUAAAAGAAAAAGCUACCGUAGGGAUAACAGCGUUAUUUUUUCAGAGAGUCCUAAUCGAAGAAAAAGUUUGCGACCUCGAUGUUGGAUUAAAGUAACUUUUAAGUGCAGAAGCUUAAAAUAAGUGGGUCUGUUCGACCCUUAAACCUUUACA
rnacentral:rRNA from 1 species